rnacentral:rRNA from 1 species
GACAGAGGCCCCAAGCGUUAGGCGGAAUCACUGGGCUUAAAGCGCGUGUAGGCGGAUCGUUAAGUGCCUUGUGAAAUCCUGCGGCUCAACCGCAGAACUGCUGGGCAUACUGGCGAUCUUGGGCCACUCAGGGGUCACUGGAACAAGCGGUGGAGCGGUGAAAUGCGUUGAUAUCCUAAGGAACACCGGUGGCGAAGGCGGCUUACUGGGUCUUAACUGACGCUGAGGCACGAAAGCCAGGGUAGCAAACGGG